CCUACGGGGGGCUGCAGUGGGGAAUAUUGGACAAUGGGGGCAACCCUGAUCCAGCCAUGCCGCGUGUGUGAAGAAGGCCCUCGGGUUGUAAAACACUUUCAGUGAGGAAGAACGCCUGGUGGUUAAUACCCAUCAGGAAAGACAUCACUCACAGAAGAAGCACCGGCUAACUCCGUGCCAGCAGCCGCGGUAAUACGGAGGGUGCGAGCGUUAAUCGGAAUUACUGGGCGUAAAGCGCGCGUAGGUGGCUUGAUAAGCCGGUUGUGAAAGCCCCGGGCUCAACCUGGGAACGGCAUCCGGAACUGUCAAGCUAGAGUGCAGGAGAGGAAGGUAGAAUUCCCGGUGUAGCGGUGAAAUGCGUAGAGAUCGGGAGGAAUACCAGUGGCGAAGGCGGCCUUCUGGACUGACACUGACACUGAGGUGCGAAAGCGUGGGUAGCAAACAGGAUUAGAUACCCCGGUAGUC
rnacentral:rRNA from 1 species